GACAAAGCAAAGAAAGAGGAAAGACUGCCCUGAGGAAUAGAGAGUAGAUUUUGUGGAGGAAAGGGAUGCCAAACAACACCAUUUUAGUGGAGACCCACUUCUGACUGAAACAAACAGUGAUCAUUUUCUUGUCGGAGAAGCAAAAAGUUUCAGUUUUGGUGCAUACCCACAUAUUUUCUUGAGGGAAAUUGGGUUGAAGUGAAUUGAAGUAGAAAUGGGGUUGAUUUCUGGGAUUCUGAUGGGGAUGAUCUGUGGGAUCGGGUUAAUGGCAGUUUGGAAGCAUAUGACGAGGUACAGGAGCAACAAGAGAAUUGCUAAGGCAGUAGAUGUAAAAGUAAUGGGCUGCCUCUGCAGGGAUGAUCUGAAGAAAGUUUGUGGCGAUAACUUUCCUGAAUGGAUAUCAUUCCCGGUUUAUGAACAGGUCAAAUGGUUGAACAAACAGUUGAGCAAGUUGUGGCCAUCCAUUGCCGAAGCAGGAGAGGCUAUUAUAAAAGAAUCUGUUGAACCUCUUUUAGAAGAUUAUCGACCUCCUGGAAUUACUUCAUUGAAGUUCAGCAAGUUAUCAUUGGGAACUGUGGCACCCAAAAUAGAAGGUAUUCGUGUUCAGAGCCUUAAAAAAGGUCAAAUCACUAUGGAUAUAGACCUCCGAUGGGGUGGUGAUCCCAAUAUUGUCUUAGGUGUUGAAGCUGCAAUGGUUGCUUCGAUACCCAUUCAGUUGAAAAAUCUUCAAGUUUUCACUGUUAUUCGUGUCAUCUUCCAACUAACUGAGGAAAUCCCUUGCAUCUCGGCUGUUGUUGUAGCAUUACUUUCUGAGCCAAAACCUAGAAUUGACUAUGUCUUGAAGGCGGUCGGUGGAAGUUUAACAGCUCUUCCUGGACUUUCAGAUAUGAUUGAUGACACUGUAAAUACAAUAGUGACAGACAUGCUAGAAUGGCCGCACAGAAUUGUUGUUCCAAUUGCACCUGUGGAUACUAGUGAUUUGGAACUUAAGCCACAAGGGAAGCUCACAGUAACUAUUGUCAAGGCUAAUGGCUUGAAGAACCACGAAAUGAUAGGAAAAUCCGAUCCAUAUGCUGUUGUACACAUACGCCCCCUUUUCAAGGUUAAGACAAAAACCAUUGACAACAACCUAAAUCCUGUUUGGGAUCAGACGUUUGAAUUAAUUGCAGAAGACAAGGAGACGCAAUCCCUAUUCAUUGAGGUCUUUGAUAAAGACAAUAUUGGGCAAGACCAGCGAAUGGGUGUCGCAAAGUUGCCUCUGAAUGAGCUUGUAGCUGAUGCUGCUAAAGAAAUUGAAUUAAGAUUACUUCCAAAACUUGAUAUGCUCAAAGUCAAAGAUAAGAAGGAUCGGGGCACUAUCACAAUAAAGGUGUUGUAUCAUGAGUUCAACAAGGAAGAGCAGUUAGCUGCUCUGGAGGCAGAGAAAGCGAUCCUAGAAGAAAGGAAGAAGCUGAAAGCAGAAGGGGUCAUCGGCAGCACAAUGGAUGCGGUUGGUUCAGGUGUCGGUAUGGUGGGAAGUGGCAUUGGAGCAGGCGUGGGCCUCGUUGGAACGGGACUAGGU
rnacentral:misc_RNA from 1 species